CUUUGAGUGAGGUCAUUAAGGUCAUCACCCCUGCUUGAUGUUACAACAUGCUGAUAGCUCAUGAUAAAGAUCUUAUCAACAUCAUGAAAGGUAAGUUUGAAAUACACUUGUUAAAGUGACAUUGAUGUAAUUGUUCUAAACUAUUGGUUUACUAUAAUCACAAUCAUGGUAUAGUUAAC